UACAGAGGCCUCGAGCGUUAGGCGGAAUCACUGGGCUUAAAGCGUGUGUAGGCGGACUUCUAAGUACCUUGUGAAAUCCCACGGCUUACCCGUGGAACGGCUGGGUAUACUGGUCGUCUUGAGCCAUCUAGGGGCUACCGGAACAAAUGGUGGAGCGGUGAAAUGCGUAGAUAUCAGGAGGAAUACCGAUGGCGAAGGCAGGUCUCUGGGCUGACACUGACGCUCAUGCACGAAAGCGUGGGGAGCAAACAGG
rnacentral:rRNA from 1 species